CACCAGACUCCUACGGGAGGCAGCAGUGGGGAAUAUUGCACAAUGGGGGAAACCCUGAUGCAGCGACGCCGCGUGAGUGAAGAAGUAAUUCGUUAUGUAAAGCUCUAUCAGCAGGGAAGAAAAUGACGGUACCUGAGUAAGAAGCCCCGGCUAACUACGUGCCAGCAGCCGCGGUAAUACGUAGGGGGCAAGCGUUAUCCGGAUUUACUGGGUGUAAAGGGAGCGUAGACGGCAAUGCAAGCCAGAUGUGAAAGCCCGGGGCUCAACCCCGGGACUGCAUUUGGAACUGUGUAGCUGGAGUGUCGGAGAGGCAGGCGGAAUUCCUAGUGUAGCGGUGAAAUGCGUAGAUAUCAGGAGGAACACCGGUGGCGAAGGCGGCCUGCUGGACUGCAACUGACGUUGAGGCCCGAAAGCGUGGGGAGCAAACAGGAUUAGAUACCCUUGUA
rnacentral:rRNA from 1 species